rnacentral:rRNA from 1 species
AUGGACAGCGCGAGGAGCUGUCUCGUGGACGACGUGAGCAGCGGCGCGUCCACGGGCAAGAAGGCCUCUCCGGCGGCGGCCGGGCCGGCGACCAAGCCGCUGCAGCGCGUCGGCAGUGGGGCCAGCGCGGUCAUGGACGCGCCGGAGCCAGGCGCGGAGGCAGACUCCGGCCGCGUCGGCAGGCUGCCGUCGUCCAAGUACAAGGGCGUGGUGCCGCAGCCCAACGGGCGGUGGGGUGCGCAGAUCUACGAGCGCCACCAGCGCGUCUGGCUGGGCACGUUCACGGGGGAGGCCGAGGCUGCGCGCGCCUAUGACGCGGCGGCGCAGCGCUUCCGCGGCCGCGAUGCCGUCACCAACUUCCGCCCGCUCGCCGAGUCCGACCCCGGCGACGCCGCCGAGCUCCGCUUCCUCACCGCCCGCUCCAAGGCCGAGGUCGUCGACAUGCUGCGCAAGCACAUCUACCCCGACGAGCUCGCGCAGUACAAGCGCGCCUUCCUCGCCUCGGCGGCGUCGUCCCCUACGUCGUCUUCGUCAGCUCCCGCCUCGUCGGCUCCUUCAGCCGCGGCGCCCUCCGCGGCGGCGCGGCGCGAGUACCUGUUCGACAAGACGGUCACGCCCAGCGACGUGGGGAAGCUGAACCGGCUGGUGAUACCGAAGCAGUACGCCGAGAAGCACUUCCCACUGCAGCUCCCUUCUGCCAGCGCCGUCGUGCCAGGCGAGUGCAAGGGCAUGCUGCUCAACUUCGACGACGCGGUCGGAAAGAUGUGGAGGUUCCGGUACUCGUACUGGAACAGCAGCCAGAGCUACGUGCUCACCAAGGGGUGGAGCCGCUUCGUCAAGGAGAAGGGCCUGCACGCCGGCGAUGCGGUCGGGUUCUACCGCUCCGCCUCCGGCAACAACCAGCUCUUCAUCGACUGCAAGAUCCGGUCCAAGUCCACGACGACGACGACGACGACCUUCCUUAACGCGGUGGCCGCCCCGUCGCCGGCACCGGUGACGAGGACCGUGAGACUGUUCGGCGUCGACCUUCUCGCGGCACCGGCGCCCGAGCACGAGGAGUACGGCAUGGCCAAGACAAACAAGAGAUCCAUGGACGCCAGCGUAGAGGCGCCCACUCCGGCGCACGCGGUCUGGAAGAAGCGGUGCGUAGACUUCGCGCUGACCUAUAGACUUGCCACCGCCCCAGAGUUCCCGAGGUCAAGAGAUCAACUAGAAGGAGUACAAGCAGCAGGGAGUACAUUUGCUCUAUAG